AAACCACGGAGGAGUAUUAUAACUAACUGCAUGAGACAACAAAGUGAGCUUAAAAGCCACAUCUAAAGUGCUGCACCAUUGUCGUCGGUGAGCAAAAACAAAAUAAUUUGAUGAGUACUGCACCACUUUUUCCUAGUGCACAGCAUGACUAAGUAUAAAACUAACAACGAUUUUACGAGUACUGCACCACUUUUUACAGUGCACUGCAUGACUAAAUAUAAAACUAACGACCAGAUAGCAUCAUGCAAUUUUUCUGAAAAUGGAAAAACAAUCAACUUCACAACAGCCACCGGCAACCCACGCGUAGUGUGCUGCAUACACACACGCGCUGUACUGCAUGGACGUGCCAACGGACUGCACGGAGGGAGGCUCGCUAUCCAAACUACACGAUAAACAGAAAAAAACGCAACGCUGCAUCAAGCCGCACAUCACCAGUUUUCUUCCUGCAAGAAGAAGUAAAUUGAACCUCAAGAGAAACAACAGUGGACUACAUUCUACACUUUAUAAUAAAAACUCCAAAACAACGAUCUGCACCAGGACCAGAGUGCACUGCACCAACGAUCUGCGAGCCUCCCUCCAUGUAGUUUCUGUCAGCAGUCUGCACGCAACAGUGUGGUUUCUUGUCAGAUGACAUGAGUGGGAGAAGCAGAAGCAGGGAGAAGAUGCAGGGGGAGAGGGCGACUACCCAUGUAUGCUGCAGCCACGACCGGUGGGGUGACC
rnacentral:lncRNA from 1 species